CUAUUGCGUUAGGGAUAGCAACGGCAUCCUUUUAUUUUUUUGUGAAAAAGAAUAAAAGAUAUAGUGGAUUAGCCCGACCCAAA
rfam:Mesonia phycicola strain DSM 21425 genome assembly, contig: Ga0070602_101